rnacentral:rRNA from 1 species
AGAGUUUGAUCCUGGCUCAGGAUGAACGCUAGCGGCAGGCUAACACAUGCAAGUCGAGGGGUAACGCGGUGUAGCAAUACACUGGCGACGACCGGCGCACGGGUGCGUAACGCGUAUGCAACCUACCUGUAACAGGGGCAUAACGGAGGGAAACUUCCACUAAUUUCCCAUAUUGUUGUGAUACCGCAUGAUAUUGCAACGAAAGCUUCGGUGGUUACGGAUGGGCAUGCGUGACAUUAGCUAGUUGGUAAGGUAACGGCUUACCAAGGCGACGAUGUCUAGGGGAGCUGAGAGGCUUAUCCCCCACACUGGUACUGAGACACGGACCAGACUCCUACGGGAGGCAGCAGUGAGGAAUAUUGGUCAAUGGACGGAAGUCUGAACCAGCCAAUGCCGCGUGGAGGAAGAAGGUCCUAUGGGUUGUAAACUCCUUUUGUUCCGGAGUAAUAAGUGGUUUGCGAACCACGAUGAGAGUACGGGACGAAUAAGCAUCGGCUAACUCCGUGCCAGCCGCCGC